rnacentral:tRNA from 1 species
GGGGUUGUGGCUCAGUGGCAGAGUGCUUGCCUAGCAUGCAUGAGGCCCUGGGUUUGAUCCUCAGCACCA